rnacentral:lncRNA from 1 species
CUACUUGAUUUAUCACAGGCUCACAUGAUUGCUUUCUUUGUUCAACAGACUCCAGAUGUUCCUAUAGAUAACCUUAAGGAACACGGUGCCUGGGACGUGGUUGCCCUCAGCAUUCCUUCUGGUGACAGAUGCAGUUGUCAGUUUGCCAACAUCCUGCUUUCAUGAGAACAGUUUGCUGUUUGCUCAUAUACCCUCCAGUGGUAUAUUGAGUUGGUCACGUCCCUCAUUCCUUUGGCCUCCAACAGGUGAAGGCUAAAGAAGGCUUUCUCAUCCAACGUCUUCACUGAGGAUAGGAAAGCCCUUUCUCUCCAAUUGUGAACUGCACGCAUGUGUGUAAGCUAUGCUUGCAUAGCAAAGUCCACUUGGGCAUUAGAGUCAAAGUUGUUAAGGGGAGCUAGUCAUAGCUACCACGUGGCCAGGCAUGUGGAACCAGACACCAGGCACACAUCAUGAAUCAUCAUAUUUACUUUAAAUAAUGCUGACAACCUAGUUCAUAGUGACACACUACUUGAGAUAUAUAGAAUAACAUUAUUACCCAGUAAGUAUGUGAACAUUCCGAUAUUUUAGUAAGGGUCAUCACCAUGGCACUUAUCUACAGAGAUAAAUGAAAACUAAAACAGGGUUGCUGCAUUAAUUUUGCCCUGGCAAUUGUCUGAUUCUGAAAUGGUGGCAGGUUUUGAGCCAAAACUUGAAUGAGUAAGAACUUGCCAUAUAGCCGAGAAGAGCACUCUAGCAAAAAGAAAUAAAUAUAAGGAAGCAUAAUAGUUAAAGGUUUUUAAGGAACUACAAAUAAUUCAGUGUGAUGAAGUAUGGAGGUGAGGUCAUGUGAGGGAGAGGGAUUUGGAGAGAAAAGUGGCUGUGUUCCGAUCACCUCCUGUGCACCUGUUGAAAGACAAUAAAUUCUCCUGCCCUAAAUAGUAAGAAGGCUGGACACAUGACCUCAACACUGAAUAAAUGAGACUGGCAGAAAUUUAUUAGUCAUAUGUACUCACAGCCUGGAAAAAAGAGGGCACUGCAUACCGUGCAAGGCCACAGAAGGUUUGCACUCAGGAACAGAAUGAACCAUUAGGGGCUGUGAGAGGUAGGCUUUGUAGUCAUCAGAGGGUUGGGUGACUCCUGGUUCCCUCCAGAGAAUGUAGUUGGCUUGCUUUAACAGUUUUAGGGACUGGCAGUGAGACGAAACCCAUUAGGUUGAGGCCUGAGUGAGAUGCAGCUGGUCUGUCAGAUAAGGGAACUGGACAAGUAGGGAACCUUUCCUGCUUGUGGGAGUCAUAGCUAUCAAGACAGGGGAAUUUGUGGAUAAGCAUUUUUGGGGAGCUCUGUGAGGGUCAAAAAUCUCAAGGCAGCAGUUGAAAUUUUAGGUCUUACAAUACCUAAAAUUGGUUUGGAGUUAUGGCAGAACAAAAAGGGAAAGAACAGGUCAUAAGGGCGUGAGUAUACAAGGCAAACACUUGGAUUUUAUUUUUCAGUGGGCAAUAGGAAACCACUGACCAAUUGUGAGCAAAGAAUAUUAUUCCAGUUCUCUUCUGAGAAAAAAAAGUCUCUGUCCCAUUCCAGGAGGUGCAGCAAUCAAUCAAUCAAUCAAUAAGGGGGGAAAUAAAGGAAAAAAGUCUUUAGAGUUUUCAUGUUUAUGAUCUGGUCCUUGAUUGGUUUAUUUUUCAGCAAGUCACUUCUUUUCUAACUUGGGAAAGGGAAAGUUUGGGACUGUAUAUAUUUAUUUAAAUCUGACCACUCCACACUAGUCAUCUCCACUUGAAUGUUCAAUACACAACUUGAAGUAAAUGCUGAAACAGAUUCUAGAUCCCCACCACACACAUACACACUCCACUCUCAAAAUGCUCUUUCUGAAGUCAUUCCUGUCUCAGUAAAUGCAAACUGUGUUGUUACAGCAAAAGAAACUGGAGAUAUAUAUGACUUUUCUAUUUAUUUCACACCAAUUUAAUCACAAACCCUUUAAAACAUACCCAGAAUUCAACCACUCCUUGAUACUUCUACAAACACUACCCAUAAUGGUUUAUGGGUCAUCCAGAUAUUAUAAUAGCCUUUCAAUCAAUCUUCUCCAGGAAGGAGAAAGAGAGAGCAACAAAGAUUUUUGCAGAAUAGAAGAAUAUUGUUAAAUAAUUAUCACAUUGGCCGGGCGUGGUGGCUCACGCCUGUAAUCCCAGUACUUUGAGAGGUCAAGGUGGGAGGAUCAGCUCAGGUCAGGAGUUCGAGACCAACCUGGCCAACAUAGUGAAACCCCGUCUCUACUAAAAAUACAAAAAUUAGCCAGGCAUUGGUGGUGGGCGCCUGUAAUCCCAGCUACUUGGGAGGCUGAGGCAGGA